UACGUAGGGUGCGAGCGUUGUCCGGAAUUCUGGGCGUAAAGAGCUCGUAGGUGGUUUGUCGCGUUGUUCGUGAAAUCUCACGGCUUAACUGUGAGCGUGCGGGCGAUACGGGCAGACUGGAGUACUGCAGGGGAGACUGGAAUUCCUGGUGUAGCGGUGGAAUGCGCAGAUAUCAGGAGGAACACCGGUGGCGAAGGCGGGUCUCUGGGCAGUAACUGACGCUGGAGGAGCGAAAGCCGUGGGGAGCGAACAGG
rnacentral:rRNA from 1 species